UACAGAGGGUGCGAGCGUUGUCCGGAAUCACUGGGCGGAAAGGGCGCGUAGGUGGUGGCUUAAGCGUGCGGUGAAAGCUCGGGGCUCAACCCCGAGUCGGCCGUGCGAACUGGGCUCACUGGAGCAUAGUAGAGGCAGGUGGAAUUCCGGGUGUAGCGGUGGAAUGCGGAGAGAUCCGGAGGAACACCGGUGGCGAAGGCGGCCUGCUGGGCUAUGGCUGACACUGAGGCGCGACAGCGUGGGGAGCAAACAGG
rnacentral:rRNA from 1 species